AUUAGCUCAGUGGGUUAGAGCAUGGUGCUAAUACCACCAAGGAUGUGGGUUUGAUCCCUACAU
rnacentral:tRNA from 1 species